rnacentral:rRNA from 1 species
UAAUACGUAGGAGGCAAGCGUUAUCCGGAUUUAUUGGGCGUAAAGAGGGCGUAGGCGGCUUUUCAAGUCGGAUGUAAAAUCUCCCGGCUCAACUGGGAGGCACCAUCCGAUACUGUUGGGCUAGAGGGCAGCAGGGGGAGGUGGAAUUCCCGGUGUAGUGGUGAUAUGCGUAGAUAUCGGGAGGAACACCAGUGGCGAAGGCGGCCUCCUGGGCUGUUGCUGACGCUGAGGCCCGAAAGCGUGGGGAGCAAACAGGAUUAGAUACCCUGGUAGUCCACGCUGUAAAUGAUGGACACUAGGUAUGGGGAGUAUCGACCCUCUCUGUGCCGAAGCUAACGCUUUAAGUGUCCCGCCUGGGGAGUACGGUCGCAAGGCUA